rnacentral:rRNA from 1 species
UACAGAGGUCCCGAGCGUUGUUCGGAUUCAUUGGGCGUAAAGGGUGCGUAGGCGGCGGGGCAAGUCUGAUGUGGAAAUCCCCGGGGCUCAACCCCGGAACUGCAUUGGAUACUGCCUUGCUUGAGUACUGGAGAGGGAACUGGAAUUUACGGUGUAGCAGUGAAAUGCGUAGAGAUCGUAAGGAAGGCCAGUGGCGAAGGCGAGUUCCUGGACAGUUACUGACGGCUGAG